rnacentral:rRNA from 1 species
ACGGCGAGUGAGCGGGAAGAGCUCAAAUUUGAAAUCUCCAAGGUUCCCUUGGCGAAUUGUAGUUUAGAAGUGUGAUCUGUAGGAGGUGUUGGCCUAAGUUUCCUUGGAACAGGGCAUCGCAGAGGGUGACAAUCCCGUCUGGCUGCGCACCGAAUACUGUAUGUGGCACUUUCGAAGAGUCGGGUUGUUUGGGAAUGCAGCCCAAAAGGGGUGGUAAAUUUCAUCUAAGGCUAAAUAUUGGCACGAGACCGAUAGCGAACAAGUACCGUGAGGGAAAGAUGAAAAGCACUUUGAAAAGAGGGUUAAACAGUACGUGAAACCGUUAAAAGGGAAACGAUUGAAGCUAGCAGUGUUUGCGCGCCUGGUCAGUUUGUGGGAGACUGCAGGCGUAUUCGGGCGCGCAACGGGUCAGCAUGGGUUUGGGCUGUGUGAGACGGCCUUGGGAGCGCGCCUCUGGCGGGUCCCUUGGCUUUAGCGCGGCGCGGACUGAGGAGAGCGGGGUGUUCUUGUGCUGAGUGUGCUCUGCUUCCGGCCGGUGCCGUACAAUGCCUGGCAGUGUGCGGUGCGGCGUCCGGGGNCACUUGGUGCACGAGGCAUCUACACCCGUUAGAUGCUGACGAAAUGGCUUUAACCGACCCGUCUUGAAACACGCACCAAGGAGUCUAACAUGUGCGCGAGUCUUUGGGUGUUAAACCCACGGGCGCAAUGAAAGUGAAAGGGUGAGAGCCGGGCCGAAAGGCNCGGUGCAUCAUCGACCGAUCUUGAUCGGCCCCUCGUGUCGCUUGCGGCUGCGGGGUGUGCUUCUUGACAGAUUUGAGUAAGAGCGUAUUUGUUGGGACCCGAAAGAUGGUGAACUAUGCCCUGAAUAGGGUGAAGCCAGAGGAAACUCUGGUGGAGGCUCGUAGCGGUUCUGACGUGCAAAUCGAUCGUCAAAUUUGGGUAUAGGGGCGAAAGACUAAUCGAACCAUCUAGUAGCUGGUUCCCACCGAAGUUUNCCUCAGAAUAGCAGGAGCUCGAGUACAGUUUUAUCAGGUAAAGCGAAUGAUUAGAGGCCUUGGGGAUGCAAUAUCCUCAACCUAUUCUCAAACUUUAAAUAGGUAAGAAGCCCGGCUUACUUGAGUGAAGUCGGGCACUGAAUGUGAGUUCCUAGUGGGCCAUUUUUGGUAAGCAGAACUGGCGAUGCGGGAUGAACCGAACGUAGAGUUAAGGUGCCCAAAUCAACGCUCAUCAGACACCACAAAAGGUGUUGGUUGAUCCAGACAGCAGGACGGUGGCCAUGGAAGUCGGAAUCCGCUAAGGAGUGUGUAACAACUCACCUGCCGAAUCAACUAGCCCUGAAAAUGGAUGGCGCUUAAGCGUUGUACCUAUACUCUACCGCUGGCGCAAAUGCGAGGCACCAGCGAGUAGGUGGGCGUGGGGGUUGUGACGAAGCCUUUGGCGUGAGCCUGGGUUGAACGGCCUCUAGUGCAGAUCUUGGUGACAGUAGCAAAUAUUCAAAUGAGAGCUUUGAAGACUGAAGUGGAGAAAGGUUCCAUGUGAACAGCAGUUGGACAUGGGUUAGUCGGUCCUAAGAGAUAGGGGAACUCCGUUUUAACGUGCGACAUUGAUGGCGCGCCCUCGGGCGCGUACCAUGGUGCGCCGCCUAUCGAAAGGGAACCAGGUUAAUAUUCCUGGACCAGGACGCAGAUACAUGUGCGUGGCCCUCGGGCCAUGUACGCACUGCGGCAACGCAACCAAACUCGGAGACGCCGGCAGGAGCCCUGGAAAGAGUUUUCUUUUCUUUUUAACAAGCUACCGCCUUGAAAUCAGAUUGCCUGGAGCUAAGGCUUGAUGCUUGGUAAAGCACCGCAACUUACGUGGUGUCCGGUGCGCUCCUGACGGCCCGUGAAAAUCCGAGGGCGAGAGUGAUUCUUGCGCCUGGCCGUACUCAUAACCGCAGCAGGUCUCCAA